GGUAGCGGGACUGAGAGGUUGGCCCGCGACAUCGGGACUGAGACACUGCCCGGACACCUACGGGUGGCUGCAGCAACGAAUAUUCCGCAAUGGGCGAAAGCCUGACGGAGCAACGCCGCGUAUGGGAUGAAGUCCUUCGGGAUGUAAACCGUGAUAGUCUGCCAGCAAGCAAACCGGGUUAAUACCCCGGGGCGUUGAGCAACAGACGAAAGGGGCGGCUAACUCCGGGCCAGCAGCCGCGGUAAGACGGAGGCCCCGAGCGUUGUUCGGAAUCACUGGGCUUAAAGCGCGUGUAGGCGGACCGGUGCGUACCUUGUGAAAGCCCUCGGCUCAACCGAGGAACUGCUGGGUAUACGGCCGGUCUUGAGGCAGGUAGAGGCACCUGGAACCUUAGGUGGAGCGGUGAAAUGCGUAGAUAUCUAAGGGAAUGCCUGUGGCGAAAGCGGGGUGCUGGGCCUGUCCUGACGCUGAGACGCGAAAGCGUAGGGAGCGAACGGGAUUAGAUACCCCUGUAGUCUACGCCGUAAACGAUGCGCACUAGGUACGAGGGUCUCUGACGACAAUCGUGCCGAAGCAAAAGUGAUUAGUGCGCCGCCUGGGGAGUACGGCCGCAAGGCUAAAACUCAAAGGAAUUGACGGGGGCUCACACAAGCGGUGGAGCAUGUGGAUCAAUUCGAAACAACGCGCAGAACCCUACCUGGGUUUGACAUGCACGGAUGCUCUUCCCGAAAGGGGAGUAGGUUGCCUUCGGGUGAAACGUGCACAGGUGCUGCAUGGCUGUCGUCAGCUCGUGCUGUGAAGUGUCGGGUUAAGUCCCAUAACGAGCGAAACCCUUGUCGUUAGUUGCCAGCGGGUCAUGCCGGGGACUCUAGCGGGACUGCCGGUGUCAAACCGGAGGAAGGUGGGGACGACGUCAAGUCAUCAUGGCCUUUAUGCCCAGGGUGUCACACGUGCUACAAUGGGGCGGUACAGAGCGAAGCGAAGCCGCGAGGCCAAGCAAAUCGCAAAAAACGCCUCUCAGUUCGGAUUGGGGUCUGCAACCCGACCCCAUGAAGCUGGAAUCGCUAGUAAUCGCGUAUCAGCCACGACGCGGUGAAUAUGUUCCUGAGCCUUGUACACACCGCCCGUCAAGUCAUGGAAGCUGGGAAUACCCGAAGUCCCACCUCGUGUGGGCCGACGGUAGGCUCGGUGACUGGGACUAAGUCGGAACAAGGUA
rnacentral:rRNA from 1 species